rnacentral:rRNA from 1 species
GACGAACGCUGGCGGCGUGCUUAACACAUGCAAGUCGAACGGAAAGGCCCUGCUUUUGUGGGGUGCUCGAGUGGCGAACGGGUGAGUAACACGUGAGUAACCUGCCCUUGACUUUGGGAUAACUUCAGGAAACUGGGGCUAAUACCGGAUAGGAGCUCCUGCUGCAUGGUGGGGGUUGGAAAGUUUCGGCGGUUGGGGAUGGACUCGCGGCUUAUCAGCUUGUUGGUGGGGUAGUGGCUUACCAAGGCUUUGACGGGUAGCCGGCCUGAGAGGGUGACCGGCCACAUUGGGACUGAGAUACGGCCCAGACUCCUACGGGAGGCAGCAGUGGGGAAUAUUGCACAAUGGGCGGAAGCCUGAUGCAGCAACGCCGCGUGCGGGAUGACGGCCUUCGGGUUGUAAACCGCUUUCGCCUGUGACGAAGCGUGAGUGACGGUAAUGGGUAAAGAAGCACCGGCUAACUACGUGCCAGCAGCCGCGGUGAUACGUAGGGUGCGAGCGUUGUCCGGAUUUAUUGGGCGUAAAGGGCUCGUAGGUGGUUGAUCGCGUCGGAAGUGUAAUCUUGGGGCUUAACCCUGAGCGUGCUUUCGAUACGGGUUGACUUGAGGAAGGUAGGGGAGAAUGGAAUUCCUGGUGGAGCGGUGGAAUGCGCAGAUAUCAGGAGGAACACCAGUGGCGAAGGCGGUUCUCUGGGCCUUUCCUGACGCUGAGGAGCGAAAGCGUGGGGAGCGAACAGGCUUAGAUACCCUGGUAGUCCGCGCUGUAAACGGUGGGUACUAGGUGUGGGGUCCAUUCCACGGGUUCCGUGCCGUAGCUAACGCUUUAAGUACCCCGCCUGGGGAGUACGGCCGCAAGGCUAAAACUCAAAGGAAUUGACGGGGCCCCGCACAAGCGGCGGAGCAUGCGGAUUAAUUCGAUGCAACGCGUAGAACCUUACCUGGGUUUGACAUGGAUCGGGAGUGCUCAGAGAUGGGUGUGCCUCUUUUGGGGUCGGUUCACAGGUGGUGCAUGGCUGUCGUCAGCUCGUGUCGUGAGAUGUUGGGUUAAGUCCCGCAACGAGCGCAACCCUUGUUCACUGUUGCUAGCACGUUAUGGUGGGGACUCAGUGGAGACCGCCGGGGUCAACUCGGAGGAAGGUGGGGAUGACGUCAAGUCAUCAUGCCCCUUAUGUCCAGGGCUUCACGCAUGCUACAAUGGCUGGUACAGAGAGUGGCGAGCCUGUGAGGGUGAGCGAAUCUCGGAAAGCCGGUCUCAGUUCGGAUUGGGGUCUGCAACUCGACCUCAUGAAGUCGGAGUCGCUAGUAAUCGCAGAUCAGCAACGCUGCGGUGAAUACGUUCCCGGGGCU